rnacentral:lncRNA from 1 species
CUGGUACAUAAUUGUCUGCUGUUUGAUACAGUUUCUUGUCAAUUUAGUAAUUACUACGACAUUUAAAAGAGAAAUUUGGAGAAUAUAUAUGUAGCAUCCAACCCCAAGUAAAAUAGAAAGAGUAGGUAAAUAAAUAAAUAAAUUGAGAUUGGGAUUUAAAUGAAAUGGAUUUUAAAAUUUUGGGGUUUUUAUUUAAUUUUAAGGAUCUAAAUGAAAACAUGUAAGAAAAAAGGGAGUACAAGUAUAAAUAAAUGGAAGUGGAAGAAAGCAAAAGAAAUAAGAAAACACGAACAGUCCUAAUCGAACCGUCUGAGCGGUCCAACGGCUGAGGUUUUAUUGAAGAUGAAUGGCCCAUAUCAAGCUUUGUGAGAUCCAACGGUCAGGGAGACGGAUAUAAAAAGGAAAAGUUAAGAGUUUUUUCUUCAUUUGAGAGAUAAGGAGAGAGGUGAGCAGAUCGGGUGAGAGAGAGAAGAAGAGAGCUGUUGAGCGGGGGAGCCGAGAGAGAGCAAAAUGGAGUGAUUCCCAAAUCCAGAAAUAUCGAGUUCCGUACCCGAGGAAGGCUCUUCGGCUUCCCGGGUGGUGAAUCGGGUCCCCAUUCCCGAAAAAGACCCUUCGGCUUCCCGAAUGGGUGGAUCGGAAGACCAUUCAGCUUCCCGAGUAGGUGGAUCUGGUUCCCAUACCCGAGGAAGACCCCUUGGUUUCUGAGUGGGUGGGUGACCCGGCCGAGUACGAGCGGCCAACUCGACGCCAACAGUCCGCCUCCGUCGCCCUAACAACCAGACAAUCACAAAAGGAAGUUUACAUGCGCUGGUGUGGUGCGAUUCGGCCUCGGGUUCAACUCCGGAUGGUCCUCUCGGCUACCCCCCGACUCUCCUUGUUUGCUUGAGAUUUGGAUGACGGAUUUCACGCCUACAAACCGGUUAAUGUAAAAUAGAUAAAGGGAUUGAAAGAAAGUAAGGUGAAAAGAUGAAAAAGGACGAAUUUUUACCUUACUUGCUUCAGUUUCCGUCGUCACACGACUUCUCAGCUCGAUUUUCCUUCCUUCUUCCUUUCGGCUUUGGCUUCCAUAACUCUCUCACCUCCGCCACUCUCUCUUCUUUUCUUCCCUUGCAGCGGCCGUUCUUGGAAUUUAUGUAUGUAUAUUAUUAAUUUUGUGUGUAUUUUAAAUAUAAAACAGAUACUGACCCAAUUUUUGAUGAAGAACAGAAUCUGAACCUAUGACAACUGAACCAUAAUAUGUUGGAAUGUAUGAGGAGAUGAA